GACGAACGCUGGCGGCGUGCUUAACACAUGCAAGUCGAACGGAAAGGCCCUGCUUUUGUGGGGUGCUCGAGUGGCGAACGGGUGAGUAACACGUGAGCAACCUGCCCUUGACUUUGGGAUAACUUCAGGAAACUGGGGCUAAUACCGGAUAGGAGCUCCUGCUGCAUGGUGGGGGUUGGAAAGUUUCGGCGGUUGGGGAUGGACUCGCGGCUUAUCAGCUUGUUGGUGGGGUAGUGGCUUACCAAGGCCUUGACGGGUAGCCGGCCUGAGAGGUAGAACAGCCGCAAUGGGACUGAGACACGGCCCAU
rnacentral:rRNA from 1 species